GUAAUACGUUAUAACGUCAUACCAUAAAACGUAAUACGUUAUAAAGUUAUAUCAUGUAAAGUAAUACGUUAUAACGUUAUACCAUAUAUCGUUACAUACAUCGACACUCUGUGUUACCACAGAUUUUAUACGAAAUAGUGAAAUUGGAAAUUGAAUACUGUAUUCAGAGUUAAAAUAUAAUGCUAUAUGGAAAUGAAAUAGCACUUCAAAGACUUGAUAGAUUUCGUUAAUAAAAUAAAGCAAAAUAAAUCUUUAAUUCACUCACUACGAAUUUAUGGUAUUGAUUAAAAUCAAUGAAUGUAGAGUUACUUCCGAUUAAGGGUACAACUGUUAUAAAUUAAGAGCAUAAUUACAUUGAAUUAAUGGGAAAAUGUUGUUAUAAAUUAUUGUAAACUUGGAAUUAUAAUUGUAAUUGACAACGAUAACGAUUAAGAGCGUGGUUACACUUAAUCGUGUGCAUGAUAUUAUCAGAAAUUGUGAUUGUAAUUAACAAUAAUUCAAACAAAAUUCAAAGAAUU